rnacentral:rRNA from 1 species
GUACUGUGCGAACGUUAUUCGGAAUCACUGGGCUUAAAGGGGGUGCGUAGGGCGGGCCAGAUAAGUAGGAUGUGAAAUCCCCCGGCUUAACCGGGGAACUGCGUUCUAAACUGUUUGGCUUGAGUAAGAUAGGGGUGUGCGGAACUUCCGGUGGAGCGGUGAAAUGUGUUGAGAUCGGAAGGAACACCAGUAGCGAAGGCGGCACACUGGGUCUUAACUGACGCUGAGGCACGAAAGCUAGGGUAGCGAACGGGAUUAGAUACCCCGGUAGUCCUAGCUGUAAACGUUGAGCACUAGACGGGAGGGGGUUACCCCAUCCGGUCGUAGCGAAAGCGCUAAGUGCUCCGCCUGGGGAGUAUGGUCGCAAGGCUG